UAUUCUUGAGUUCGAUUUUGCUGAAUAACUGAGUUUAGUUAUAUUUUCUCUUGAAAAUAGAGAGACUCAUGUAAUGGUCAGAUUUUUAAAUUUUCAUAUCUUAUUUUCUAUUUAGAGGAUUCAAAUGUCAGUAUAAAUUGUUUAGUGAGGGGAAUAUUGAAUGCAGUCGAGCCUUUAAGCCAUUUGUGGUGAUUGACCUGUUUGACAGUCAUUGCAGUCCAGAUUAAUCCUCAUUAAGUUCAUUUUUGUUGUAAACAAUUGUCUAAUAAAAAGAUUCUUUGAACAUUAUUUCAUGAAAUUUUGCUAACUUUAUUACAUGAUAAUAAUAAAUUGCACAAUUGUUUGUGCACACAAGUUUCUCCUAUACCAAUAAGCUUUAUGGAUUUUGAUGUCAAUUUUAUUAUUUUUUAUUAGUUACCGUACUUUGUGCAUGUUUGGCAAAAGCAUAGCUUAUGAUUUAAGCUGUCAAACAUACUUUUCCUAUCCAACUCUUAUCACACAAUAAGACCAGAAAUUUACAAUAAUUUGUAGGCACUUCAAGCAUCUACGUUGUCAAUAUCCGAAAAAGAUGUAGAACAUUCUCUACAAAAGAAUUAAAUGUAACUAAAUAUUGAAAUAAAUGAUUUUUAGAUUAGUUUUCAGGUUAAAUUAUUUUAGUAAUGGAGCAAUCAGAGUCUCUGUCAGAAGUGCAUCCCUUGAGUCAAAAAAAUUUAUGAUUGCUGCUCCAUAUUUUUGCAAUCAGAGUCAAAUUUUUAAUGGAGCAAUCAGACUUUCUUUCAGAAAACUUUUAACGUGUUUAUAUAUAAGUUACUUAUAUCAUUAUCAGUUCUAAUGAUUGAUGCUCCAUAUUUUUGCUUUUCAUCUUCUCGUUGUUGUUUUGUUAAUGCAUAUAUAGAUGCCGCCAAAAAGAAUGUUUAAGCACGUGCUACCCAUAGCAUCUUCUACUCCUCCAAGCUCGAGCAAUCGAAGCCCAUCUCCUCAUGGACAAGAGCAGCAGUCUAAUCCAUCAGUUUCUCCUAUUUCGAUACCUUCAACAGCUCAUUUCGGUGUUAACACGACAACUUAAUCCAGUGUAGAUCCUACAACUCAAUGUACCCCUGGC
rnacentral:lncRNA from 1 species